UAGGUGAACCUGCGGUGGGAUCAUUAAAUAUUCAAAAUUUAAUGGGGUCUCUCUUGUUUUCACUGCAUUUGUGGUGGGGGGAGAGAGGCUCUGCUUGUGUGAAUCUAGUGAGCUGCAGUGGUGACAAUACUUUGUGUGUCUGGCGAUGCUUGUGUCUAAUGAUACUUUUGUGUCUAACACAUUUGUAUCUAAUGACACUUUUGUGUCUAAUGAUGCGUAUUGUAUUUGAUCCGCGCAGCGUGAGAGCAGCCUUGGCGUGACCUUUGCUUGAGCGUUUGUUUUGUGCGAGUGCAUUAUGCUUUUGCGUAAUGUGCCACUGCAUAUUAACUGCUAAUUCAAAGCCCGCCAGCUGCUUUCUCUUACAUAAACCCUAUCAACCCAAUAUCUAAAACAUCAUAUUGAGGGCUAAACACCCUCAGCAAUUAUUUACAACUAUCCGUGGUGGAUCACUUGGCUCUUGCAUCGAUGAAGAACGUAGCGAAUUGCGAAAAUUACUGCGAAUUGCUUUAGCGUGAAUCAUUGAGUCUUUGAACGCACAUUGCACUCUGCAUUUCCGUGCAGAGUAUGCCUGUUUGAGCAUCAGAUUGACACCACUCCUCCAGGUCUUUUUGGACUUGGUUGAGGACUAUGAGCGCCAUCCAGCUCUUUUCACAAGGGGCUGGUCGCUUCAAAUGUAGGAGGACGUACCAAAUGUGGCCGACUCGAUUCGGAGCACUGUAGGCGAGAGGCAGCUUGCGCACUCGAUGUUGCAUUCUGUUGUCCAGACCGUGAAGCGUGGUUGGCCAGAGGCUAGUAGCAGUCUUUCAGACUGUGAACGCUUUGAUUAUCCAUCGGCAAUCGACACUAGUUGUUGUUUUGCCAACACACACAUGGUCGCUACGAGACAGCAGAAUAUUAGUAACUUGUUUGCGCGGGCUGAAUCGUUUGAGCUUGCUGCUGCAAAGUAUCACUAACUGCGCCCUAUUGCCUCCAACGACGUUUGCAAUCUAAAUCUUUAUCAAAAUGAUCUCAAAUCAGGUAGGACUACCCGCUGAACUUAAGCAUAUC
rnacentral:rRNA from 1 species